rfam:Dipodomys ordii contig_65453, whole genome shotgun sequence.
GGGAAGGUAGCUCAGUGGUAGAGUGCUUGCCUUGCAUGCAUGAGGACCUGGGUUCGAUUCCUCAGCACCA